rnacentral:rRNA from 1 species
AACACAUGCAAGUCGAGGGGCAUCAGGAAGAAAGCUUGCUUUCUUUGCUGGCGACCGGCGCACGGGUGAGUAACACGUAUCCAACCUGCCCUUUACUCGGGGAUAGCCUUUCGAAAGAAAGAUUAAUACCCGAUGGCAUAAUGAUUCCGCAUGGUUUCAUUAUUAAAGGAUUCCGGUAAAGGAUGGGGAUGCGUUCCAUUAGGUUGUUGGUGAGGUAACGGCUCACCAAGCCUUCGAUGGAUAGGGGUUCUGAGAGGAAGGUCCCCCACAUUGGAACUGAGACACGGUCCAAACUCCUACGGGAGGCAGCAGUGAGGAAUAUUGGUCAAUGGGCGCUAGCCUGAACCAGCCAAGUAGCGUGAAGGAUGAAGGCUCUAUGGGUCGUAAACUUCUUUUAUAUAAGAAUAAAGUGCAGUAUGUAUACUGUUUUGUAUGUAUUAUAUGAAUAAGGAUCGGCUAACUCCGUGCCAGCAGCCGCGGUAAUACGGAGGAUCCGAGCGUUAUCCGGAUUUAUUGGGUUUAAAGGGAGCGUAGGUGGACUGGUAAGUCAGUUGUGAAAGUUUGCGGCUCAACCGUAAAAUUGCAGUUGAUACUGUCAGUCUUGAGUACAGUAGAGGUGGGCGGAAUUCGUGGUGUAGCGGUGAAAUGCUUAGAUAUCACGAAGAACUCCGAUUGCGAAGGCAGCUCACUGG